CUUUUACUUAAUUUUGAGAGUUUAACUUAACUUACAUGAAUCAGAACCACUUGUAAAAUAACUAUAAUACCCUUCACUGACAUCACAAGUGACAAAUCCAGAGAACUUCUGUUGGAUCCAGCUAAAGUGUUCUGAAGCUGCAGCAUCUAAGAAGAGGAUUUUCCCACCCUGCAAAAGAUGCCCUUGUAGCAGCCUAUCAUCCUAUCACAGGCGGAACUGACCUUGCACCUUUCACAUUUCUUUCAAAAUUACCCCGCAGAACCUCAGGAAACACUGACCAAGGAGCCAAACUCUGGGGUAUGGGCUGGAAGGACAAAAGCUUUGCAGAUUGUUGCACACCAAGCCACAAUGAAAGGCAGCUAAGCAAGGCUUGAUUUUUAUGUUGACAGUCUACUGUAAUUAGAGG